UCGUCAUUCCUCAUACUCUCUCGCCUGUCAGGGUGAUGAGAGUGUGUGAGAAAUGACGAGA
rnacentral:pre_miRNA from 1 species